GUGGUUUGUACAGAGUGUAUGGACAGACAUUGUGUGGUACAGAGGUAAAGUGUGGUUUGUACAGAGUGUAUGGACAGACAUUGUGUGGUACAGAGGUAAAGUGUGGUUUGUAUGGACAGACAUUGUGUGGUACAGAGAUAAAGUGUGGUUUGUAUGGACAGACAUUGUGUGGUACAGAGAUAAAGUGUGGUUUGUAUGGACAGACAUUGUGUGGUACAGACAUAAAGUGUGGUUUGUAUGGACAGACAUUGUGUGGUACAGAGGUAAAGUGUGGUUUGUACAGAGUGUAUGGACAGACAUUGUGGGGUACAGAGGUAAAGUGUGGUUUGUACAGAGUGUAUGGACAGACAUU